UGACUGCGUUGGGUCUUCGUUGCUGCGCACAGGCUUUCUCUAGUUGCAGUGAGCAGAGCACAGGCUCUAGGCACGCGGGCUUCAGUAGUUGCAGCACGUGGGCUCAGUAGUUGUGGCUCGCGGGCUCUAGAGCACAGGUUCAGUAGUUGUGGUGCACAGGCUCAGUUGCUCCGCGGCAUGGGGAAAUCUUCCUGGACCAGGGUUCAAACCCAUGUCCCCUGCAUUGGCAGGUGGAUUCUUAAUCACUGCGCCACCAGAGAAGUCCCCAGAGAGAUCUUUUUAAAAAACCACAUUUGCUCACAUCAUUUAGCAGCUAAACCCCCUCACUGGCCCUCACUGUGCUUAGCUUUCAAGGUCCUCCCUGGCCUGGGCCCUCCUGCCCCUCUCGGGUCCUGCCCAACUCUAACCUCUGAAUUCUGGCCACAGGGCCUUUACCUGCAGUCCCCUACAGCACCAGGCUCUCUUCUGCAGCCAACCAUAAUAAUGGUCCUCCCUGACCACGCCCCAUCACGGCACUUAUCAUGCACACUGCGGCCUGGGCCACAGUACUCACUAGACCCUGCUCUAGUACCCAGCAAGAGAGAGCACAGAGAAGACCUGUAAGAAAUACAAACAAGCCAAGUCUUCAACACACUUGACACUCCAGCUAUAAAACUUAUUAUUCGUCAGUAUUUGAAACAGUCUGAAUUAUAAUCAGAAAAAACAUUUACUAAAGUUUUGAAAACCAUAAAGGAAGACUUUAGUGAGCAAGCAGAACGACAAGCAGUGGUAGAGAAAGGAGAUUUGCCCACCUGGGAGGUGGUCAUGGAGUAAUGGGGGAAGGCACAAUCUCUCUGGAGAGCUAGGCUGGGCCGUCCUUCCAUCCCCAGGGACUUCAGGUUCUCCCAGGCCAGGACCUAGCCAAGCCUGGGCCACACAUAAGGCAGCAGGGAGCCUCUCUGCUGUUUCCCUCAUAGAUCAACCACACACCCAUAAUCCUGGGGGCUCUUGGAGAAACCUCCUCUGCCCCAAGGCAGCACCUGGGUGGUCACCUGGCUUCCAGCUCUUCGUCAUUUAGGUAUAGCAUCUGGGUGCUUAGGAAGCCCAGAGUCCAUGCUUCCAAGAUGUGUCCCCAAAACUGGCCCAGAGGGAGGUGGAAUCCACCGACUGCCCACGAUGCCUUCAGCAGACCCAGCGGGGGGAGGAGGGGGUACUUGGGGGACCUAGGACCUUGGGGAGAGGAAGUCAGGCAGAAAAAAAUCAGAAGGGGCAUCCCCUUGCUCCUCCUACCUGGAAAACAAAAAAGAUCCCUUUCCAAGCACCAGCUGGCAGGUAGGAGCCUGUCUCCCUCCUGUCUGGACAUCCAGUCCUAAAAGAAACUCAGACUCUAUCAGUCUCCCCCAGCCCACACCUGGGCAAAAGUUUACCUUUGGGAGAACGUAGGGGGACAGCGGCCUGAUAGCCAUUGCAAGGCACUGGGCCUCAGAUGUAAUCAACACUGCCUUCCACCAGAAGUAGACAGAACAAGUAUUAUUUCAUGGGGGAAAGGAGGGUGUCGCAGGAGUGUGAAGGGGGAGGAGAGGGCCCCAUUUGGCUGGAAUUAACUAACCUGCUUCAAAGGUGGGGGAUCAAGAUGGUCUGAUUUGUUAGGGAGGGGGAUUACACAAAAUCGUCCCCCUCAUCCCUGGGGCUGUAUGGGGUGGGGGUAAGGUCAGGAAGGAAGGUGAGGUUUGGAGGGGUGGGUCUCCUUCCAGCUGGCUGGGUAGGCGGACCCCUCCCACGCGCGGCUGGAGGAACUGACAGGUCUAAGUGGAGCGCUCUUGUAAGCCAGCUCACUGCAACUGGAAGAGCACGCUUGGGGGUUCCCCGUGCAGCUCCAGUACAAAAGGCCGCCCCAUUUCGAAACCUGGCGCGGGGCGUGGGUCAGGGCAGGGCGUUUAGAGUGAUUUACAUAUAUCCAUUUAAAGACAGCUAGUCUGAAUCUGCCAUCGGAAAUGGGUAAUAUCCGGCAAGUCCCUUCCCAGCUCUGGACCUCAGUUUCCCAUGUAUAGAAUCAGGGGCAGGAGGAAGAGGAGGUAGACAAGAGUAAACACGCUUUUAAGUCCGUGACAGCUCUGCCUCUCUGACUUUCCUCCUCGGGGGGGUUGAAGGGCUAGUUGGGUGUCUCUUUCUUGGGCAAGGCUGGGCGGGGCACUCUCCUCAGGCUACUUCCGAAACGGGAACCUGGCUGCGGGCUCAGAGAGAGGACGUUUUGGCAGCAGCAGUGAAAGAGACUGUGUCAGGAGGCCGGCGAUCGGGGGCAAAGCGCGUGCCGAGGCAGAACUGGGAAGCACCGUUGAGAGGCCUGAUCCCAAGGUCCUAGCCUGAGUGGAUGUAGGAACUCGAAACUAGAGCGGUGCCUCAGUUUACCCGUGCGCACAGUGGCUCUGGAACCUCGGACGGAGAAAUUGAGGCUCAGAGGAAGAUCAUCCAGGUGGGCCUGGAUGCCAGUUCCCGGUAUGGUGGCGCCGAAAUUGUGUCAUUUCUACUAGUCUCUACUUUGCAAUUUAAGGUCGUUCUCUGAUUAUUAAAAUCCGGAAACUGAGGCCGAGUGAGGAGCACAGCUUGCUCGGUAAAGCUUUUCCUGGGAGGCGGCAUAUGCUCUGCCGAGGAAGAGGAGCUGCCUAGAAAUGAGAGGAAGCAGAACGAGAUUCAUCCCUGUCUUCCCAGCAUCCGGAGGGGGCUCCAGGAAGGUUGCGGGGUCCAGGUAGCCCCUUCCACACAAGUCCCAGUCGUGCUGACACACAAGCCUGUCCACGGUGUCGCUGAGCCAGCUCUGUUGUUCCCUCCACCUCAGAGCUCCUCUCCUGUACAAGGCGCAGCUCCCCAACACUGUAGGAAACCAUUGAAAAAGAAGGCAUAAAGGCAGCAAACAUCAAAACCUCCAAGAUUACACUUACCUGGGUUCUAAUGCGAAUGACUUUGUGUGCUAGUGUGUAAAACUAUAAAUCUGAGGCCUUUAAUCUGAUUCUCAUCUCCAAAAUAAACUUCGGAGUUCCUAAAAGGCUCUAGCCACAGGAAUCCACUUCUCCAAUGGACCAAUUUUGCUGUAAAGUAGCACGUUCACCCUGGCCACGGUGUGGGUCAAGGGUGCUUAAACUCCGAGUGUGCCUCAGAAUCACCUCAGAAAACAGCAUGAGAAUGUACACUGCCAACACUGCAGAGAAGCCAACUCAGAGCCUAGUGGGGCUCAGGAAUCUGCAUUUUUACAUGAACCACAGCUGAUUCUGCUCAGACGAGCCAACUAUCCCACUUUGAGAAGCUCUGGCUAGUCUCUGAGCUCUGAUCCACGGUGUGAACCAAGAAAUCAUGGGUGGAGGCAUUUCUUACUUUUGUUCCCAAGACCCAACGUUCAGAGGGUCAGCCAGCCUGCCUCUCAGGCAGUGUGUCCCUGCAGGGCAUCAUGUCACCUCACCUGUGCAUUCUAAGGGACAUGUGGUUCUUCUUAUUUAUCCUGAGCAAAUCUCCCUCAGAGACCAGUGUAACGGAUUCUGAGAAGCGGGGAUUAGGCGGGAGGAAGGUAGGAGAACAAAUGUGGACACAGAACACAAGAGGACGCUGUGCUGGCCACUGUGCUCCAGGCUUCGUCGUCCCACAGAAGCCUGGUGGGGCACUAACACCCAUCUUCCAGCUGAGGACGUGAGGGCUCAGAGGUCACACCGCUAAUAAGAGCCGGACUCAGAUCAGAGUGCCUUGUUCCUGAUCUCCAUCCUGAACUCCUUUCAGGGCAUGCUAAACGUCAGCGACUGCAGUGGCUAGAGACUUCAUUCUUGGAGAACCAGAUGGGUCCUAAUGAAUAGCAGGAAGGACAUUAGUGUCCAAGGGCGAUGUGUGCUGUGCAAAGAAGAAGAACAAAGUGAAGAAGGUGGUAGGAGCACCCAGAGGAGAAGGUAAUAAGAAGAGAGUUCAUCUCCAUUUUAUCUUUUAUCUUGGAAAUACUAUUUUAGCCAUAAUUUUUUUCUUAGUUGUUACUUCUCCUGGCUGUUACUUCCUUACAGAGUACUCUUCUUCUUUUCCUUCUUGUGAUGUUUUGAUUUACAAUAAGAGGUAUAUAUUUGGUCUUCAUCCGGUUCCUUCCACAGAGCUCCUAAAACCCUUGGAAUUUCUUAAGUGUUAAGAGCACAAAUGUGAAAUGGGUGUCUUUUGUUAUUCUGAACAAGCCCCU